UUUGUAUAACUCGCCUUAUGCAACAUCGCACCGUGCGGUGCUUGGUUAGAAUAAGACUGCGGUCAAGUGUGAGCUGGUAUCACAAAUUGAAUUUGACGCGUCGCGCUUGCGUGUUCAUAAUCGAUAUAUUGAGCACGUUUUUUAUACUUUUUUAUCCAGUUCAACUUUGUAUACGAGAAUAAAAAAAGUUUGAAAAAUGUUUUGGAAGGUUCUGGUAGUUUUUCUUGGCGUCCUUACAGUUCAUCUUUGUCAAGAAACGAGUACUAGAGCAGCACGUCCGAUGAAGUUGAUAAUAGACACCGACGCGGGCGGAGACGAUGCCGUCGCUAUACUCCUGGCGUUGGCCUCCAAGGAGGUGCAAGUCAUCGCUAUCACAUGCGUUUACGGGAACACAGACGAGGCGAACGUCGAGACUAACGUACUCAAGAUUCUGACUGUGGCUGGUCGAUCCGAUAUUCCUGUAUAUGGUGGAGCGAAGAAACCUUUGUUGCAGAAUUACACAGCAGGCGAUUACUUUGGCAAAGAUGGACUUGGCGAUUUCGAGUUUGGCAGAGAUAUCGUCGGCAGAGUUGACAGUUCUAAACACGCUGCAUUGGCAAUGGUUGAACUGGUUAGGCAAUAUUCAGGUAACAUAAGCAUCUUAACUCUUGGUCCACUGACAAACGUGGCUCUGGCAGCGUCACUCGAUCCCAGUUUCACUCACAGCGUCAACCGAAUUUACGUUAUGGGUUCAGCCGUCCAAGAUCCGAAACCUGGAAUCGAAAGCGAAAAUCGAGAAAUAGAAUUCAAUUUCAGCUUGGACUCGGAAAGUAAUGCAAUCGUUCUUAAUUCAUCCACGAAGGUCAAGAGUUUUAUAGCCCCGUGGGAUGUCGUUGUCAAAAAUAGUAUCAGUAAGGAGUGGCGAAUGAACGUUCUGGGGAGCUUGAGCUCCGAGGCCAUGAUCUUCUUGAACAAGGUGGAGCACAUGAUUUUAAAAAGACUGACGGAGUGGCUACCGGCCGAUUCGAUUGCCGUUGCGACCAUGAUUUGGCCGGACCUCAUAACGAGCUCGAUAGAAGCGCGAAUGUCCUCGGUGACCUAUGGCCCGCUCAAGGGCUCCGUUUUGGUAGAAACCGAGGGUGUAAGGAAUGAGGAUAAAAACGUGGAGAUCGUCAGAGAUUUUAACGUGGCAGCCUUCAAGGAUAAGCUUCUAGAAAACUUGGCAUGAGCGAUGACAACGGUAUUUUGCAUAAAUGCAAAUAACGCUUGUUGCACGUGAAAUAAAUUGGCCACGAGAAGUGUACGUGUGAGCUGGCCUCACGCCAAGAUUCAAGUAAAUUAUAUAUUUUUACUGAAUAUUAAUCAUCAGAAACUUUCACGUUUGAAAAACAUUUGCAGUAAAAGAAGAAUCUCCCCAUGCCAGUCACAGUAAAAAGCCAACAAUGCACUCGUCAACCGUAAACCUAAUCUUAUCACUCGCACGAGAUAAUUCGUCACAAGUUAGCCUCCUCGCGUUACGAUACACCAAAACCGCGCCUAAUCAAUCUACACACGGACGCAUAAUGUACAUCAGCUAUACUUGUAUCAACGAAUAUAGACUUCCUAUAGAAGAACGGUUCUGUGUUAAGAUGGGGGGACGAAAGCUUGGGUAACAGGCCGUUAGUUCUGUUACCCAACCGCUCAGCGGCGCCACCUAUGAGUUUCCUUCAGCUUGUCGCGCAUAUGAGCACGCACCAGCAGACGAUUCAUCAUUCACGCAGUAUAUUAUGUAAAAUAUACUUUUUAACAAUAAUGAAAAUAAAUAAAUGAUAAGAAAAUGAUUAA